AGCCAAAAAAUGCCGAAUCUCUACUUGGGUACGGAGGAACCGAUUUUGGGGGUGAAUCCCCUUUUUUACGAGCGAGGGUGUCGCUUUUCAUUUUUAUUCCGAGAUUACUUGGAUAUCCAAGUAAUCUGUGACAACCCCUUGGUUUUCGGUGUUUAAAUUAUAGAACACUGAUUUUCGUGUGGAAGGGGUAGGGAAUUCCUUGCCCGAACCCGACAGCUAACUCCGGAGGCAAAAAAGGAAAGGAGAA
rnacentral:sRNA from 2 species